rnacentral:rRNA from 1 species
UACGUAGGUGGCAAGCGUUGUCCGGAAUUAUUGGGCGUAAAGCGCGCGCAGGCGGCCUCUUAAGUCUGAUGUGAAAGCCCCCGGCUCAACCCGGGGGAGGGCCAUUGGAAACUGGGAGGCUUGAGUAUAGGAGAGAAGAGUGGAAUUCCACGUGUAGCGGUGAAAUGCGUAGAGAUGUGGAGGAACACCAGUGGCGAAGGCGACUCUUUGGCCUAUAACUGACGCUGAGGCGCGAAAGCGUGGGGAGCAAACAGG